rnacentral:rRNA from 1 species
CGUAGCCGCGGGAAUACGGAGGGGGCUAGCGUUGUUCGGAAUUACUGGGCGUAAAGCGCACGUAGGCGGCUUGGUAAGUUAGAGGUGAAAGCCUGGAGCUCAACUCCAGAAUUGCCUUUAAGACUGCCGAGCUAGCAGGUGAGAGAGGUAAGUGGAAUUCCGAGUGUAGAGGUGAAAUUCGUAGAUAUUCGGAAGAACACCAGUGGCGAAGGCGGCUUACUGGCUCAUACUGGACGCUGAGGUGCGAAAGCGUGGGGAGCAAACAGGAUUAGAGACCCCCGUAGUCCCUGUCUCUUAUACA